rnacentral:rRNA from 1 species
UACGAAGGGGGCUAGCGUUGCUCGGAAUUACUGGGCGUAAAGGGCGCGUAGGCGGUCUUGUUAGUCAGGCGUGAAAUUCCUGGGCUUAACCUGGGGGCUGCGCUUGAUACGGCGGGACUUGAGGAUGGAAGAGGCUCGUGGAAUUCCCAGUGUAGAGGUGAAAUUCGUAGAUAUUGGGAAGAACACCGGUGGCGAAGGCGGCGAGCUGGUCCAUUACUGACGCUGAGGCG